CGCGGCCUAUCAGCUUGUUGGUGGGGUAGUGGCUUACCAAGGCUUUGACGGGUAGCCGGCCUGAGAGGGUGACCGGCCACAUUGGGACUGAGAUACGGCCCAGACUCCUACGGGAGGCAGCAGUGGGGAAUAUUGCACAAUGGGCGGAAGCCUGAUGCAGCAACGCCGCGUGCGGGAUGACGGCCUUCGGGUUGUAAACCGCUUUCGCCUGUGACGAAGCGUGAGUGACGGUAAUGGGUAAAGAAGCACCGGCUAACUACGUGCCAGCAGCCGCGGUGAUACGUAGGGUGCGAGCGUUGUCCGGAUUUAUUGGGCGUAAAGGGCUCGUAGGUGGUUGAUCGCGUCGGAAGUGUAAUCUUGGGGCUUAACCCUGAGCGUGCUUUCGAUACGGGUUGACUUGAGGAAGGUAGGGGAGAAUGGAAUUCCAGGUGGAGCGGUGGAAUGCGCAGAUAUCAGGAGGAACACCAGUGGCGAAGGCGGUUCUCUGGGCCUUUCCUGACGCUGAGGAGCGAAAGCGUGGGGAGCGAACAGGCUUAGAUACCCUGGCAGUCCACGCUGUAAACGGUGGGUACUAGGUGUGGGGUCCAUUCCACGGGUUCCGUGCCGUAGCUAACGCUUUAAGUACCCCGCCUGGGGAGUACGG
rnacentral:rRNA from 1 species